rnacentral:rRNA from 1 species
CAGCCGCCGCGGUAACACGUAGGGUGCAAGCGUUAAUCGGAAUUACUGGGCGUAAAGCGAGCGCAGACGGUUAUUUAAGCAGGAUGUGAAAUCCCCGGGCUUAACCUGGGAACUGCGUUCUGAACUGGAUAGCUAGAGUGUGUCAGAGGGGGGUAGAAUUCCACGUGUAGCAGUGAAAUGCGUAGAGAUGUGGAGGAAUGCCGAUGGCGAAGGCAGCCCCCUGGGAUAACACUGACGUUCAUGCUCGAAAGCGUGGGUAGCAAACAGGAUUAGAUACCCCCGUAGUCCCUGUCUCUUAUAC